rnacentral:rRNA from 1 species
UGCGUAGGCGGUUAUAUAAGUUAAGUGUGAAAGUCCCGGGCUUAACCUGGGGAAGUCACUUAAAACUGUAUGACUGGAGUAUGGGAGAGGGUAGUGGAAUUUCCGGUGUAGCGGUGAAAUGCGUAGAGAUCGGAAGGAACACCAGUGGCGAAGGCGGCUACCUGGCCCAAUACUGACGCUGAAGCACGAAAGCGUGGGGAGCAAACA